UGCAAACUUCGCAGGCAAUCUGUUUCAUGAAGACUGAAUCUAUUUAUGAAGAUUACUUGCGUUCAUGAAUGGGUGGCCGCCCAGUGUUCAUACCUCAUGCACAUAUUUGGCUUGCUAACCAAGUAUUUUGCUGCUUACCAUGAAAUCUACUUUCUUCUGACUUUGAGGCUGUCUCCAGAUGACCAGAGAUGCCAGUAGAAUCCCCAGCAAGUUGGAAAAAAGGCAGACAACACACCACAGAGUUCCAGACGUCAAACAUGGCAAUUUUAUGGAGUAAACAACAAGUUCAGAGAUAAGAGCCGAGGUGGUGCAGUGGUUAAAGUGCAGUACUGCAGGCUACUUCAGCUGACUGCUAGCUGCAGUUCAGCAGAUCGAAUCUCACCGGCUCAAGGUUGACUCAGCCUUUCAUCCA